AAUUGACAUACCCCUAGAGGAGUGAGACUUUGUCAUCCUUCGGCCACUCGUUCAUGCUUUCCUGGGUCCACCCCUCUGAGGUCUACUGGGGUCUCCUAUUGGCCAUGCAUGAGGAGGAUACAGGCCCGCUGCUUUAUAGUAAUAAAGACAACACAGAGUUUCCAACCAACGGCUUCUUCCUUCAACAAUUUAACAUCCAGCCAGGCUUCUGCAUACACUUUGGAACCCAUCCAAGCCUGCCCCAAAACACAUGGGGGAGCACACUCUAG
rnacentral:lncRNA from 1 species